rnacentral:rRNA from 1 species
GGCGGCAUUUAAUAUACUUAGAGGAAUAUGUUUCWUAAUCGACAACCCCCGUUAAAUCUUACUUAAUGUAAAAUUUUAUAUACCUCCGKCUAAAGAGAUUUUAAAAAUAAUUCCUCUAAAUUAAAAUAAGUCAGGUAAAGGUGUAAACUAAAUUUAAGAUGAAAUGUAUUACUAUAAAACUAAUUUAAGGAAUAAAAUUUAACCAAUUUACAAAAGAGGAUUUAUAAGUA